UUUCUUUCUCCUUUUAUUUCAGUAAUUUAGAAUGGAGUUUUCAUAGGCAGAAACCAAUUUUCUGAAAGUCUUAAUUGAUGCUGGAGUCACAUAGAUCACUUAGAUGGCCUUCUGCAGGCCUCAGCUAUAUGGCGCCCUCCAUGCUGGGCUUUAAGGGGAUGAGACAAGGUUUACAGCCUAUUUGCUUCCCAAUUCUUUUCUUUUUUUUUCCUUUUUUUUUUCUUUUUUCUUUUUUUUUCAGAAAACAGGAUCCCCAAAGCACCCAACCCCCUGGAAGGCAGACAGUUUCAGAGUUUACAGGCUCAUAUCCCAGUGAAAGAAAGAUAAAGGGGAAGUGGGAAGUGGCUGACCUGACAGAGAAGUUAAUAAGGGACCCUGAGCACCAGGCUUGGAUGUGGCAAAUUUCUGACCUCCAAGAAAAAACAAGACAUUCCACUGAAUAAAAAGAGUAACAGUGACUUUCCAGAAUGAGAAAAAUCAAGAAUGGAUUGCUCAUUAGUUAUAUGCUCCCAAACACUGGUGCACUCUACCUGCAGUAAAAAG
rnacentral:lncRNA from 1 species